ACGAACGCUGGCGGCGUGCCUAAUACAUGCAAGUCGAGCGGACGAAUCGAAAGCUUGCUUUUGAUUCGUUAGCGGCGGACGGGUGAGUAACACGUGGGCAACCUGCCCUGUAGACGGGGAUAACACCGAGAAAUCGGUGCUAAUACCGGAUAACACGAAAUGUCGCAUGACGUUUCGUUGAAAGACGGCGCAAGCUGUCGCUACAGGAUGGACCCGCGGCGCAUUAGCUAGUUGGUGAGGUAACGGCUCACCAAGGCGACGAUGCGUAGCCGACCUGAGAGGGUGAUCGGCCACACUGGGACUGAGACACGGCCCAGACUCCUACGGGAGGCAGCAGUAGGGAAUCUUCCGCAAUGGACGAAAGUCUGACGGAGCAACGCCGCGUGAGCGAAGAAGGCCUUCGGGUCGUAAAGCUCUGUUGUUAGGGAAGAACAAGUAACGCAGUAACUGGCGUUACCGUGACGGUACCUAACGAGAAAGCCACGGCUAACUACGUG
rnacentral:rRNA from 1 species